AUUGAACGCUGGCGGCAUGCUUUACACAUGCAAGUCGAAUGGUAACAGGCCUUCGGGUGCUGACGAGUGGCGAACGGGUGAGUAAUGCAUCGGAACGUGCCCAGAGGUGGGGGAUAACGCAGCGAAAGCUGUGCUAAUACCGCAUGUGAUCUGAGGAUGAAAGCGGGGGACCAGGCAGCAAUGUUUGGCCUCGCGCCUUUGGAGCGGCCGAUGUCAGAUUAGGUAGUUGGUGGGGUAAAGGCCUACCAAGCCGACGAUCUGUAGCUGGUCUGAGAGGACGACCAGCCACACUGGGACUGAGACACGGCCCAGACUCCUACGGGAGGCAGCAGUGGGGAAUUUUGGACAAUGGGCGCAAGCCUGAUCCAGCAAUGCCGCGUGCGGGAAGAAGGCCUUCGGGUUGUAAACCGCUUUUGUACGGAACGAAAAGGCUCUGGCUAAUACCUGGGGCUGAUGACGGUACCGUAAGAAUAAGCACCGGCUAACUACGUG
rnacentral:rRNA from 1 species